rnacentral:rRNA from 1 species
UACGUAGGUGGCAAGCGUUGUCCGGAUUUAUUGGGCGUAAAGCGAGCGCAGGCGGUUCUUUAAGUCUGAUGUGAAAGCCCCCGGCUCAACCGGGGAGGGUCAUUGGAAACUGGAGAACUUGAGUGCAGAAGAGGAGAGUGGAAUUCCAUGUGUAGCGGUGAAAUGCGUAGAUAUAUGGAGGAACACCAGUGGCGAAGGCGACUCUCUGGUCUGUAACUGACGCUGAGGCUCGAAAGCGUGGGGAGCAAACAGG